CCCUAGUCCUGCGCAGCUUGAUGAGCGACGCCGCGUGGACGAUGAGGCCUUCAGGUUCGUAAGUCCUUGUUCGCAGGGGAACGAUAAGCCGGGGAGUGGAAAGCCCUGGUGAUGACGUUACCCUGCAAAUAAGCCCCGGCCAAUUACGUGCCAGCAGCCGCGGUAAUACGUAUGGGGCAAGCGUUGUUCGGAGUUAUUGGGCGUAAAGGGCGUGUAGGCGGCCCGAGAAGUCUGGUGUGAAAUCCCAGGGCUCAACCCUGCAGGUGCGCUGGAAACUGACGGGCUGGAGUCCCGGGGGGGAAGCUGGAAUUCCUGGUGUAGGAGUGAAAUCUGUAGAGAUCAGGAAGAACACCGGUGGCGAAGGCGAGCUUCUAUUCGAGGACUGACGCUGAGGCGCGAAAGCUUGGGGAGCAAACAGGAUUAGAUACCCUGGUAGUCCACGCUGUAAACGAUGUGCACUAGGCGUGGGGCACGUCGGUGCUCUGUGCCGUAACUAACGCGAUUAGUGCACCGCCUGG
rnacentral:rRNA from 1 species